UACGAAGGGGGCUAGCGUUGCUCGGAUUGACUGGGCGUAAAGGGCGCGUAGGCGGUUUGUACAGUCAGACGUGAAAUUCCUGGGCUCAACCUGGGGGCUGCGUUUGAUACGUGCGAGCUUGAGUUCGGAAGAGGGUCGUGGAAUUCCCAGUGUAGAGGUGAAAUUCGUAGAUAUUGGGAGGAACACCGGUGGCGAAGGCGGCGACCUGGUCCGAUACUGACGCUGAGGCGCGAAAGCGUGGGGAGCAAACAGG
rnacentral:rRNA from 1 species